AACGCCAAGGUCGCGGGUUCGAUC
rnacentral:piRNA from 5 species